rnacentral:miRNA from 1 species
GCCAGCUUUCAGCUUCGGUGCCAU